UACGGGGGGGGCAAGCGUUGUUCGGAAUUACUGGGCGUAAAGGGCUCGUAGGCGGCCAACUAAGUCAGACGUGAAAUCCCUCGGCUUAACCGGGGAACUGCGUCUGAUACUGGAUGGCUAGAGUGUGGGAGAGGGAUGCGGAAUUCCAGGUGUAGCGGUGAAAUGCGUAGAUAUCAGGAGGAACACCGGUGGCGAAGGCGGGUCUCUGGGCAGUAACUGACGCUGAGGAGCGAAAGCGUGGGGAGCGAACAGG
rnacentral:rRNA from 1 species